rnacentral:rRNA from 1 species
UACGAAGGGGGCUAGCGUUGCUCGGAUUGACUGGGCGUAAAGGGCGCGUAGCGGUUCGUACAGUCAGACGUGAAAUUCCUGGGCUCAACCUGGGGGCUGCGUUUGAUACGUGCGGACUUGAGUGCGGAAGAGGGUCGUGGAAUUCCCAGUGUAGAGGUGAAAUUCGUAGAUAUUGGAAAGAACACCGGUGGCGAAGGCGGCGACCUGGUCCGAUACUGACGCUGAGGCGCGAAAGCGUGGGGAGCAAACAGG